GACGAACGCUGGCGGCGUGCUUAACACAUGCAAGUCGAACGGAAAGGCCCUUUCGGGGGUACUCGAGUGGCGAACGGGUGAGUAACACGUGGGUGAUCUGCCCUGCACUUUGGGAUAAGCCUGGGAAACUGGGUCUAAUACCGGAUAGGACUCUUGGCUGCAUGGUUGAGAGUGGAAAGCUUUUGCGGUGUGGGAUGGGCCCGCGGCCUAUCAGCUUGUUGGUGGGGUGAUGGCCUACCAAGGCGACGACGGGUAGCCGGCCUGAGAGGGUGUCCGGCCGCACUGGGACGGAGAUACGGCCCAGACUCCUACGGGAGGCAGCAGUGGGGAAUAUUGCACAAUGGGCGCAAGCCUGAUGCAGCGACGCCGCGUGAGGGAUGACGGCCUUCGGGUUGUAAACCUCUUUCACUAGGGACGAAGCGCAAGUGACGGUACCUAGAGAAGAAGCACCGGCCAACUACGUGCCAGCAGCCGCGGUAAAAC
rnacentral:rRNA from 1 species